GACGAACGCUGGCGGCGUGCUUAACACAUGCAAGCCGAACGGGAACCUUUAUUUCGGUAAAGGAGAGAGUGGCAAACGGGUGAGUAACACGUAGGCAACCUGCCGACAGGAUGGGGACAACAUUCCGAAAGGAAUGCUAAUACCGAAUGGAGUCCGAGGAUGGCAUCAUCCUUGGAUAAAAGAUGGCCUCUUAACAAUGCUAUCGCCUGUCGAUGGGCCUGCGUCUGAUUAGCCAGUUGGCGGGGUAACGGCCCACCAAAGCGACGAUCAGUAGCCGGUCUGAGAGGAUGAACGGCCACAUUGGGACUGAGACACGGCCCAGACUCCUACGGGAGGCAGCAGUGGGGAAUCUUCCACAAUGGGCGAAAGCCUGAUGGAGCAACGCCGCGUGAGUGAAGAAGGUCUUCGGAUCGUAAAGCUCUGUUGCACGGGACGAAAACCGAGCUUGAGAAUAUUGAGUUUGGGGACGGACCGAGCGAGGAAGCCAC
rnacentral:rRNA from 1 species